AGAGGGAUAGCUGGGUUGAAUGGUGGUUCCAUUCUAAGUUUUCCAAGAAAUCUCCAUACUACUUUCCAUAUUGGCUGCACCAAUUUGCAGUCCCACCAGCAAU
rnacentral:pre_miRNA from 1 species